GGUGAACGCUGGCGGCGUGCCUAAGACAUGCAAGUCGAGCGGGCCGCGGGGUUUUACUCCGUGGUCAGCGGCGGACGGGUGAGUAACGCGUGGGUGACCUACCCGGAAGAGGGGGACAACCCGGGGAAACUCGGGCUAAUCCCCCAUGUGGACCCGCCCCUUGGGGUGUGUCCAAAGGGCUUUGCCCGCUUCCGGAUGGGCCCGCGUCCCAUCAGCUAGUUGGUGGGGUAAUGGCCCACCAAGGCGACGACGGGUAGCCGGCCUGAGAGGGUGGCCGGCCACAGGGGCACUGAGACACGGGCCCCACUCCUACGGGAGGAAGCAGUUAGGAAUCUUCCGCAAUGGGCGCAAGCCUGACGGAGCGACGCCGCUUGGAGGAAGAAGCCCUUCGGGGUGUAAACUCCUGAACCCGGGACGAAACCCCCGACGAGGGGACUGACGGUACCGGGGUAAUAGCGCCGGCCAACUCCGUG
rnacentral:rRNA from 1 species